ACACUCUAUACGGAGUUACAAAAGAAAGUUAUAAAUGAAGCGGUCUGGAAAGGCCCGCCAAAGACGGUAACAGCCCGGUAGUUGAAAUGGCUUUCCCUCCAGAGUGGAUCCUGAGUACGGCGGAACACGUGAAAUUCCGUCGGAAUCCGGGAGGACCAUCUCCCAAGGCUAAAUACUCCCUAGUGACCGAUAGUGAACCAGUACCGUGAGGGAAAGGUGAAAAGCACCCCGGAAGGGGAGUGAAACAGUUCCUGAAACCGUGUGCCUACAAGUAGUUAGAGCCCGUUAAUGGGUGAUAGCGUGCCUUUUGUAGAAUGAACCGGCGAGUUACGAUUUGUUGCAAGGUUAAGCGGAAAAAGCGGAGCCGUAGCGAAAGCGAGUCUGAAUAGGGCGCAUAAGUAACAGGUCGUAGACCCGAAACCAGGUGAUCUACCCAUGUCCAGGAUGAAGGUAAGGUAAUACUUACUGGAGGUCCGAACCCACGCACGUUGAAAAGUGCGGGGAUGAGGUGUGGGUAGCGGAGAAAUUCCAAUCGAACUUGGAGAUAGCUGGUUCUCUCCGAAAUAGCUUUAGGGCUAGCCUCGAGGUAAAGAGUCAUGGAGGUAGAGCACUGUUUGGACUAGGGGCCCUUCUCGGGUUACCGAAUUCAGAUAAACUCCGAAUGCCAUGUACUUAUACUCGGGAGUCAGACUGCGAGUGAUAAGAUCCGUAGUCGAAAGGGAAACAGCCCAGACCACCAGUUAAGGUCCCCAAAUAUAUGUUAAGUGGAAAAGGAUGUGGGGUUGCUUAGACAACCAGGAUGUUGGCUUAGAAGCAGCCACCAUUGAAAGAGUGCGUAAUAGCUCACUGGUCGAGUGACCCCGCGCCGAAAAUGUACCGGGGCUAAACAUAUUAC
rnacentral:rRNA from 1 species